rnacentral:rRNA from 1 species
GACGAACGCUGGCGGCGUGCUUAACACAUGCAAGUCGAGCAGUAAGGCCCUUUCGGGGGUACACGAGCGGCGAACGGGUGAGUAACACGUGGGUGACCUGCCCUCAGCUCUGGGAUAAGGCCUGGGGAAAACUGGGUCUAAUACCGGAUAUGACUCCAUGACGCAUGUUGUGGGGUCGGAAAGCCUUGUGCGGCGUGAGGAUGGGCCCGCGGCCUAUCAGCUUGUGGUGGGGUGAUGGCCUACCAAGGCGACGACGGGUAGCCGGCCUGAGAGGGCGACCGGCCACACUGGG